rnacentral:rRNA from 1 species
CCGGAGAAUGUUAUCACGGGAGACACACGGCGGGUGCUAACGUCCGUCGUGAAGAGGGAAACAACCCAGACCGCCAGCUAAGGUCCCAAAGUCAUGGUUAAGUGGGAAACGAUGUGGGAAGGCCCAGACAGCCAGGAUGUUGGCUUAGAAGCAGCCAUCAUUUAAAGAAAGCGUAAUAGCUCACUGGUCGAGUCGGCCUGCGCGGAAGAUGUAACGGGGCUAAACCAUGCACCGAAGCUGCGGCAGCGAACGUAUCACCCAAGACAACUUUACGGAGUUGACGAUUGACGGAGCGAAGCGACGUCAAAGCGUUCAUUAAAGUCGAGUUGGCUUAGGGAUACGUUCGUUGGGUAGGGGAGCGUUCUGUAAGCCUGUGAAGGUGUGUCGUGAGGC